UUGGCCAACUUCGGGGCCGGGCGGGGCAGCGCGCGCGGGCCUUUCCACUUUUCCCUCCUUCCCCUCCUCCCUAGCAGCGGUGUGCGUGUGCGUGUGCGUGUGCGUGUGUGUGACCGGGUUUUUAAAAAAUCGUCUUCGCUCCUCCGCGAGCGGGGGAGGGGGAGGCGCGCGCCUGGAGGGGGAGGACCUGAGUGGAAACAGAUGUGGCGGGUGGCGGGCGGCGGGGGAGGGGAGCCGGGACGCGCGCGGCCUCGGAGGAAGCGCGCGCUCGGAGGACCCCCGCCCGGCCCUCAAGGACCACCCGGCGCCAACCCUGCCCUCGGCGGGCACCCGCGGGGCGCGUCCAGGGAAAUCGGGGGCUCAGCGUGAGUCUAUGGCCGCCCCACCGUGCGCCGCCAGGACGGAUGCGUUAUUACCGCGUUCGUUCUGUCCGUUCGAAGGUUCACUUUCCCUUCCCGGCUUCUCGAUGGUGUUUAUAUUUUCUUUUCCACACUGGGUCUUCAGGGACAGCUUGUGGCACGCGGCGUCCGCACCGCGUAAGCGGGGAGUUUUGGGGGGGCAGUUUUUUGUGGGCAGCUCUGGCCCCGCUGGCGCCCUCCAGGGUGGACAGAUCUUGAAGGGCAAAGAGCAGCUGAAGAUGCAGAAAUCCAGCCAGCCGACCCUGAAACUGUACCUGGUGUUGCUUUCUCAAAGGGUGACAGCGGAGGGGGGGAUCCCAGGCCCCCUCCCCAAGAAGCAGAGUCCCUGGGGGUGGGGACAUCGAGAGCAAAAGCUGCCGUGUGCAAGGAGGGCAUCACCCCAGCGCCAGCGCUGCGCCCAGCUUGUCCUGCUUUGUGUGGGCUUUGGGGAUGGAUUGCGCGAAAGGGGACAGUGGGCAGUGCUUGCUGUUUUGUGCGAGGACCAGACAGCCCCCUGGAGGGACUGGGGCCUCCAGGGUGGUCAGGCAUCUGCCUGAGGGGAGCGGUGGGGGCUCCGGGUCCACAUUCUGUGCACUUUGAGCCCCUCCUGCCCUCCUGAAUUCCGACCUGCUGGAACUGAGUGUUGGACAAACAGAAGCCCUGCAGAGCCCCCUCACCACUGCAGGACAGGCCGGGGGCUGUCUCUUGCCCACUGCACCACUGCACAUCUGCCUGGGGAAGCUGGAGUCUGGCAGGGUGCGAGGGGUGGGGAGCGUGGCCCCUGCAGGGGGCUCAGCACAUUGGAGAGUCAGGCCCUGGAAGAGAGUCAUGGCCAAAACGCUGCCUCGCCUCUUCCCCUUCCGCCCUCUUGAUGAGGGAGUGGAAGCCUGGAGAGGCCCCAGGCCUCUGCACCUGGCCCUCCCCACCCUGGAGGAGGAGGCACUGCCUUGAUCACCCUCUGAGCAAGCUUAGGUCUGGGCCAGGAGACUGUGGGGCAACGGGCUGUUCUCCACAGCAGCACUUGAGCAAGAGGAGGACCGAGUUGUAGCACAAUGCCCCUGGCAUCUCCCAGCACACAGCUGCCCCCUCUGCCAGUCUGCUCCCCCUGCCACCUUCCGGGCCUCCUCUGGCCAAGUUCCCCACUGGAAGAGCUCCCAUACCUUGUACUGAUGCAUAAGGUGGCACUGGGAUGAAUUCACCAGCGGGCCCCAGAAACACAUGUUGGAAGCAGGAUCUGGUGCUGCUGGGGCGAACUUACCCCGGGGAGAGGGGACGGCAUGGUAUGUGGCAGCUUCCUGGCCCCCGGCAGGGGAGCCCUGUGGGCUGAGAGGCAGGGGCGCUGUAGCGAGGUGGGCAGCACCCUCUUGCUGUGUGGUGGCUGAUCCAUCUCCCUGUGCCUCCGCUGUGCACGCCCCGAAGAUGGUCACUGGAGGUGUCCUUGUUCACCGCUGUGCUGCUGCGUGUUUGGAACACUCAGCCCGGCGCUGAGCCCAGUACUUGGAGGGGCGGGGAGGAUAGAGAAGAGUGAAAGCCACGUCCUCAAGGGGGUGAAACGCAACCCCUGGACGGGGAGGGGAGAUGGGGUGCCUGCCAUGGCCCAGAGCCGGGAAGAGCUGUGUGUGCCGUUUUACGCUUAACUCUGCCAACAACGCAACGAGAUGGGUACUGUUGGGCCCAUUUUGCAGGUGAGGAAAGGCAGGCGAAGGUGGAGUUUGGUCAUUUCUGUGUGGUUGGACAGCCCAUAACUGAAGGGCUGGUGUGGUGGAGGCAGGGAGCCUGCAGGCCCAGGGAGGCAGCAGCAGCGAGGGCUCUGCCGGGGAUGAUCUGGGAGUUUGCUGGGCCCUGGUCGGGAGGAGGCUGAGUGGACAAGGAAACUGGCCAGGUGCCCGGGAGGCCAAAACAAGGAGGUGGCUUGCGGGCUGGCUGGGGCGGUGGAGAGUCCCCCCCCCCGGGGGGGGAGUUUGAGCAGAUGAAUGGGGUUGCUGGGAGCCCCAGGGGUACGGAGUGAGGAGGCUUUGGGAAAUCUUCCUGGACAGGGAGGGAGGCUGUAGAAGCUGCUGCUGCUACCGCGGCCAGACUGCCAGUCACAUCACGUGCGCCCCCGGCCCAACUCCUGGCAGGUCACGGACGCGGGGACCAUCUUACUCCUGCCUGCUCCCCAAACCUGCUUCCUUGCUGCACCCCAUGAGCACUCCAGAGCUGCCAGGCCUGAGGGGGAGACUUCCGGAUGCCCGCGUGGUCUGGUGUCACGGGCAGAAGCCUUCUGGAGACUGUUCCUUUAAAUUCCCCCUAAUUUAAGCCUUUGAAAGGAGCCCCGUGAUGCCCUCUGGGGGCGUGAGGCGCUGACAGCGAUGACACGGCCAAUGAUGUGCUGGGCGCUGUGCCCAGCUCCACAGGCAGCGCUGCCAUACGCCACGCCCUGUGUGUGCCCCAUGCUGGGCACACGGGAGUCACCAGUGGGAGAUGCCAGCGAGUGGUGAAGUGACAGUACACCCAGGUGAGGGACAGAGCAGACCCCUCAGGCACCAAGGAAGCACUACAGGGGGAGAGGAAGACGCUGCAGUGUGGGGUCCCCCAGAAUGCCAGGCCUUCUCCGACCUCUCCCGUGUCCCCCGGAGAGGACCCUGAGCACAAGGGUGGAGCGCACCCAGCUAUGUGUCCCCGUCCCGGUCAAUGACGGCUGUCUGGGCACUUGGCUCUCCCACGUCCCAGUGGGUUCAGCAGGCAGGGCCUGAGCCCCAUCAGGUCCUUGGCUGUGAGGUGCCCCCCACCCCCCGCAGGGAGGCGUGGGUGAGCCAGCGCUGAGUGAGCAGAGGUGCCCAGGCCGGCACCCCUGCUUCCCGGGGUCAGAUUCGCGUGCUGCUGCCUUCAUUGGUCGCUUAGUGGGGUUUCCUGGGCCUGUGCAGUGCUGAGAGCCGGGGUGACCGUGGCCUGUGCCUCUCCACCGCCCACCUCGCUCCGCGCCUUCUCCAGCGGGGGUCCCUGGGCCCGUCCGGCCUGGGUCUUGCAGACAGACCGGAAGUCUGCCUUCAGGACGGGGGAGGGGCCGCUUUCCCAUGACGGGGUCCUAUAAAUCCGGGUGGGGUGGACCGUUGGGGUGGUGACGCAGCUCUUGGCUCUCACCCUGGGCACUGCAAAUGCUAUUACUCCUCAGCUCGGCCCUGUGUGGGGAAGCCGCAGGCCGGCGGAGGCUGCGCUGUGGCUCGGGAAUGCGCACGACGCACACCCCUCCCAGCCGCUAGGCUGGACCCAAGCCCCGUGCUCACCUCCGCCCUGCCCCUGCCCGCUGCUCAGGUGUUGCUGGAGGGCAACUGUGGAGCGUCAGCCGCCACCGCCAGGCCCCCGGGGCCGUGGUGAACAGGACGUGGUGGCUCGAGCCCCCCCCCGGAGCCAUGGUGAAGAGGAUGUGGGGGGCUUGGGGUCCCUGGGCUGUGGUGAAGAGGACGUGGUGGGCUCAGGGCCUCUGGGCCGUGGUGAACAGGACGUGGUGGCUCGGGGUCCCUGGAGCCGUGGUGAAGAGGACGUGGUGGGCUCGGUGCCCUGGGGCUGUGAUGAACAGGAUGUGGUGGGCUCGGUGCCCUGGGGCCGUGGUGAAGAGGACUUGGUGGGCUCAGGACCCCCAGGGCUGUGGUGAACAGGAAGUGGUGGGCUCGGUGCCCUGGAGCCUUGGUGAAGAGGACAUGGUGGGCUCGGCCCCCAGGGCUGUGGUGAACAGGAAGUGGUGGGCUCGGUGCCCUGGGGCCGUGGUGAAGAGGACAUGGUGGGCUCGGCCCCCAGGGCUGUGGUGAACAGGAAGUGGUGGGCUCGGUGCCCUGGGGCCGUGGUGAAGAGGACAUGGUGGGCUCGGCCCCCAGGGCUGUGGUGAACAGGAAGUGGUGGGCUCGGUGCCCUGGGGCCGUGGUGAAGAGGACUUGGUGGGCUCAGGACCCCCAGGGCUGUGGUGAACAGGAAGUGGUGGGCUCGGUGCCCUGGAGCCUUGGUGAAGAGGACAUGGUGGGCUCGGCCCCCAGGGCUGUGGUGAACAGGAAGUGGUGGGCUCGGUGCCCUGGGGCCGUGGUGAAGAGGACUUGGUGGGCUCGGCCCCCAGGGCUGUGGUGAACAGGAAGUGGUGGGCUCGGUGCCCUGGGGCCGUGGUGAAGAGGACAUGGUGGGCUCGGCCCCCAGGGCUGUGGUGAACAGGAAGUGGUGGGCUCGGUGCCCUGGGGCAGUGGUGAACAGGAAGUGGUGGCUCAGAGCCCAGGGCCCUGGUGAACAGACAUCGUGGGCUCGCCCCCCCCCCCCGGGGCCGUGGUGAACAAGAUGUGGUGGUCUCAGAGCCGCUGGGGCUUUUGUGAAGAGGACACUUGGUGGGCUCGGUGUCCCCGGGAAAGGGUGCAGCUCAGUCCAGGCUUCACUGGCAGUCUGUGUUCGGAAGGAGCCGGGGUGCGGCCCCUGCCCUGACUGCGGGGCGGGAGCGCGGGUGUGGCCCCGAAUGUUCCUCCUCUCUGGCCUCUGGAGAGGGGACAGGACCCUUGGACCAGGACUCAUGUCGCUCACAGCCUGUGUGGCCUCAGGCAGAGGCUCAGGUGUCUUCCUGGAUAGGAGCACCCAUGUAGGGGUGCUGUGAGAACCAGGGCUGCGUGCCUGGUGCACCCCGGGGCAAACAGUGGGCAACCAUUUCCGUCUUCAUUAUUGAGACAGCUUGAAUGUCAGGGGCCCAGAGACCGUAAAUACAGCCCUCAGAGUCCUAGCUAGACUGCCCCGUUUUCAACGGAAGCAGGUGGAAACCCAUCACUUCUUGGAGACGCCUACAAGGCUCAAAGUAAUCACGCUUCUUAUAGAAGCAAACUUACAUCCUGAAGGGAAAACUCCAUCCUCAAGCGCCCCACUCCCUUGACCCUUGCUUGCCCUCUCUGUCGGUAAACCCCCCCAUUUCGCCUUCACUCGGGUGCAGCUGGGACUUGCUGGGACUCUGCACGUGGCAGUGCUCACCCGAGCAUCGGAGGCCCCGCGGGGCGCUCGGGCAUGCCGGCCACUCCUCCAGCACCCAGACGCCCUUCGCCUGGGGUCUCAGGGCCGAGGGAGCGGGGCUGCCAUUGCUGAGCGCGGCGACUGUCCCGGGGCCUCGCUUUGAGGCCUGGGUGCCACCCAUGCUCCGUGGGAAACGCUCGGGCCGCACAGAAGUCAGUGUUCAGAGCCCGAGCGCCUCCUGCCCACAGCCACGCAGCCGCGCCGUCGGUGGGCCCUGGGCUCGUCUCCCGUCUGCACGCACACCCAACACUUCCGUUACCCAAAUAGCUAAUUUAUUUUCAGCCAUUUGGCAAAGGAGUUUCUAUUUCUGCUGUUCCUGGAGUCCGUCCCCGCCAACUGCAGAGCUGCCCCUCUCAACGGCGUUCCGCACUGUGCCGCAAGGAGCGGCUGCGUUCCCAGCUGAGCGGGCUGCUUGCCGAGGGACGCGCUCGUGGCCCCGGGGCUCCUGCCUUGGCCCCUGGGAUGCCCUCUUCGUCCCUGGCCUCGGCCAGAGCCGGCGUGCCUGUCAGAUUCGGGAUCCUGCAGGACAGCUUCAGUGAGUUCUGGACAUUUGCAGUGUAGACUUCGAGGCCUCCCGUUCUCUGCAAGUCCUUGCACAAGUCACACUGCGCUCCUUCCCGUGAGCCCCUCACAGAUCCCCGGGCUGCUGCUCGCCCUGCCGCCAGGCUCCCUUGGCCACGCGUCUCAGCACCUGCUCGCACCGCGGCCUCACCUGGCUCAUGCCCGCGGCCUUACCUGCCUGAGCUGCCCUCAGCUGAAAGGAGCCUUUCUCUCCAGAGCCCCACACUGGCGAUUGAUCACUGCCACCCACCCCGGGGGGGUGCACUUCCUCUCCCCCAGCCUAGAAGCACCUCCCAGGCAGGCCAUUUUGUCCCUGCACAGGUUGCAACAUGGGAUUGUGGACACUGUGGCAUUCGGCAAGUAUUGACUGAAAAGAAAAAAAAUAGGGGCUGGUGCUGUGGCAUAUCGGGGAAAGCCACUGCCAUAUGGGCGCCUGUUAAAGUCCCGGCUCCACUUCCGAUCCAGCUCUCUGCUAUGGCCUGGGAAAGCAGUAGAAGAUGGCCCAAGUGCUUGGGUCCUUGUAACCACGGGGGAGACCUGGAGGAAGCGCCUGGCUCCUGGCUUCGGAUCAGCUCAGCUCUGGCCAUUGUGGCCAUUUGGAGAGCGAAUCAGCGGAUGGAAGACUAUGCUCGCUCUCUCUCUCUCUCUCUGUUUCUCUUUCUCUCUCUUUCUCUUUGCCUUCGCAGCUCUGUAACUCCGCCUUUCAAAUAAAUACAUAAAAAGGGAAGAAAAAAUAGAAGGCAGAUGAGUACGGAAGGACAGUGCAGGGAGUUUUAGAUGAUGUCCCAGUCAUGAAGGCCGAUGACAGCAACUUAAACAGAAAAGGCCCCAUUGGCCUCGGGUGCAUCGCACAGGCAGAGGUAAAGUGUUCUAAGAAUGUCCUGUGAGACGCACCAGAAACAGGGCCCUGGGAGAAGGGAGUCUGCUUCAUGUUCCUGGGACAACGGGAUGCCAGACAGUGUGUUCACAGCUGAGCACGCGUGAGGCAGGUCCGGUGACAGGUCAUCACGCGGGAAGUGCAGAGAUCCCUGUAACGCAGAGUGCACUUUCUGGACAUGCCUGAGUAAACGAGUGCAAACAGAAAGCCUAGUCGUGACGGGACUGCGAGGAAAUCACUUGUCGGAAUUCAUUCUCUCGCACAUCCACAAGGCUUCGUAUCCUCUAACCUUGUGGUUCCACUUGGAGUUUGUAAGGCAUUCAAAUCCUGAAGGGAAAACUAAACGCCGGCACUGCUCCUAGCAGCAAAACGAAUUGGAAACUACACAGGGACAGUUUCGUAGUUUCCAGUGGCAACUGGGGCCAGUGCCGGUGCAGGGAAAUGUAUCGGAAGAGGAGGGUCUCGUGACCACAAGGCGGUUCCUGCCCGGGUCGCACACCCCGGUGACCGUUCAGAUGCACACGUCCGCUGUCCGACGCGUAGCCGUUCGGUACCUGCCGUCUUGGAGUUGCUGGCUUUCCGGAGCACCAGCGGUGUGCCAGGCUUGCUGUCUGGUGAGGGGGCCACCGUGGUGAGCACACUGAGUGUGGUGCCUGCCUUCCUGAGCCUUGUAUUUGGAAGGCAAGCCCCCCAAAAUAUACAACGUAAAUAGACUCGAAUGUACAUUGAUGUAUUUUUUAGUACCAUUUUUAAGUCUACUAAAAGAAGAUGGAAGCACUACAAUCUCAGCCCCAGGAGCAGGACCUUGUCUGAGAGCAGAGGAUGGUGGCAUCCGAGCAGCCUGGCACGGAGGAAGGACCCCCAGGAGACGGCUCACGGCCGGGCUCGAUCGCCACUCCCCACAGGAAGGAGCUCCCGGAACUGCCCGAGAUGCCCAACCUCGUUUCUGAUGGAUCCGAGGCUGUAAGAGCUUGGUGGUUUGGAAAGCGCUUGGAAGCACUGCUUCUGAGAGCAGGAACAAAACAACAUAGAGGCCGGCGCCGCGGCUCACUAGGCUAAUCCUCCACCGCCGGCACCCCGGGUUCUAGUCCCGGCCGGGGCGCCAGAUUCUGUCCCGGUCGCUCCUCUUCCUGUCCAGCUCUCUGCUGUGGCCCAGGAAGGCAGUGGAGGAUGACCCAGGUGCUUGGACCCUGCACCCACAUGGGAGACCAGGAGGAAGCACCCGGCUCCUGGCUUCGGAUUGGCGCAGCACGAGGGCCGUGGCGGCCAUUUGGGGGGUGAACCAACGGAAGGAAGACCUUUCUCUCUGUCUCUCUCUCUCACUGUCCACUCUGCCUGUCAAAAAAAAAACAUAGAGCAUGAGCCUUGAAAAACACGAUGGGUAAACCACGAAGACGCUGAAGUAUACAGCCGUAGGGAGUGAACAAGCUUCGGCCAGGUGCAGUGGCGUGAGACCCUCAGAGACACACUGCCGAGUGGGGAAAGCAGCUCCAGAGGGCUACACAGGACGAGCUGUGCAGGCCAGCACAGAAGGUGCGAGGUAACAGAGUGAGCACCUGCAACAUUGCUCACCUAGAGCCACCAACAGCUGCUGUUUGCUUUGACCUCGCUGUGUGUGUGUGUGUGUGUGUGUGUGUGUGUGUGUGUGUGUGGUGAAGCUUUGAAAGUCAGUUGCAGACAGGACAUUUCAUUCCUAAAUGCCUCACCUUGUAUCAACUAAAAGACAUUUGUUGACAACAAUAAUGCUAUAAUCACACCCAAGGAAUAUCACACAAUCUUUUUUAAGAUUUAUUUGAAAGACAGAGUUACAGAGAGAGGUAGAGAGAGAGAGAGAGGUCUUCCAUCUGCUGGUUCACUCCCCAGAUGGCCGCAACCAACGGAGCUGCAGUGAUCCGAAGCCAGGAGCCAGGAGCUGCUUCUGGGUCUUCCACACAGGUGCAGGAACCCAAGGACUUGAGCCAUCUUCUGCUGCUUUCCCAGGCCAUACCAGAGAGCUGGAUUGGAAGUGGAGCAGCCAGGGCUCAAACCAGUGCCCAUAUGGGGUGCUGGCGCUUCAGGCCAGAGCGUUAACCCAUUGUGCCACAGCGCUGGCUCCCCAGAAUCUCUUUUUUUUUUUUUAAGAUUUAUAUAUUUGAAAAGCAGAGUUACAGAGAGAGAGGGAGAGACAGCAAUAUUUCAUCUGCUGGUUUGCUCUCCAAAUGGCCACAAGAGCCAGACUGGGCUAAGGCAAAGCUGGGAACCAGGAACUCCGCCUGGGUUCCCUGUGUAUGUGGCAGGGACCACCUUCCACUGUCUUCCCAGGGUGUUAGCAGGGAGCUGGCUGGGAAGCAGAGCUGGGAUGGCACCGUCACAGCGGGGCUCAGCCACAGCGCCAGCCCACACUCGUUUUUUCUGACACGCAGUCCGUGUUUGGAUUUCUUCACUGUCCCAAAUUAUGUCUUUUAUUGCCAUCUUUAAGUCCGGCGUUCAAUUAAGUGUCAUGUCUUCCAUCUCCUUUCAUCUGAAAGAAUUGCUUGGCUUUUUCUGGUUUCACGCGUUACAGUUUGAGGACACGAAAUGAGUUUGUCUCAUUCUUACGCACUCCUGGACUCAAGGCAGACGUGUUUGGGAAGAGGACCGCGUGGUGUGUCCUCCCCCCGUGUCGGGUCCUGUGAGGGUCCCCUCAUUCCUGAUGCCGACCAUGGUCGCGUGGUUCAGCUGGUGCCUGCUACAUCACCGCACCGAGAGCUGCCUGUCCCUUCUGUGUCCAGUGGGCCAUCUAAAUAAUCUAAACAAUGUAAGCUGUUCUUGAAAAGCAACAGCCGGAAGACAGCCACAUGUGCACCAACAGUAGGUAAACACCAGGUGCACUGUGGUCUCUUCACACAACGGAGGGUUGCACAGUCUACACCCACCUGCAACAGACUGCGUGAACUUAUAUACACUGCGCUGGACGCACUGAAGUGGUACCUAUGACCUCAUCCAUGUAGAAUUCGAAGGAACAGGCAAAAUCGUCCAGUGCCAUUUGUAGUCAGAAUGAUCCCCCUGAGUGGGAAAGGGACCUCUGUGGGCGGGAUCCCAAGUAAAAUGCAAAAAGAACUAACAGGGAAGAGAUACUUAAUGACUGUGGCAUGAGGUUCACGUAAGCCAAUGGGGAAAACACAGGAACCUGUAAUAUUUUUAAGGCACUUAAGAUUGGAAUAGGUAAGACAAUGACAAUGGACAGAGUACAAAGACAGGAAUACCAUUGUCUAACAAACACACGCAGAAUGGUUAAAAUCUCUAGCAGUAAAAAAAGGCAGUAGACUUGGUGAAGAGCGGGAAUCCGUGUGCAGCUUUGAACCCAGAGCUGUAAUCACACCAAGGAAUAUCACACAAUCUUUUUUCAAAAAAAAAAAAAAAAGAUUUCUAUAUGUGAAAGGCAGAGUUAUAGAGAGAGGGGAAGAGACAUUCUAUUUUAAG